GAUCAUGGCUCAGGAUGAACGCUAGCUACAGGCUUAACACAUGCAAGUCGAGGGGCAGCAUGGUCUUAGUUUGCUAAGACCGAUGGCGACCGGCGCACGGGUGAGUAACGCGUAUCCAACCUGCCUUACACUCUUGGACAGCCUUCUGAAAGGGAGAUUAAUACAAGAUGUUAUCAUGAGUAAGCAUUUUCGCAUGAUUAAAGGUUUACCGGUGUAAGAUGGGGAUGCGUUCCA
rnacentral:rRNA from 1 species